rnacentral:rRNA from 1 species
CUACGGGGCGCAGCAGUGAGGAAUAUUGCACAAUGGAGGAAACUCUGAUGCAGCAACGCCGCGUGGAGGAUGACACUUUUCGGAGCGUAAACUCCUUUUAUAUAGGAAGAAGAUGACGGUACUAUAUGAAUAAGCGCCGGCUAACUCCGUGCCAGCAGCCGCGGUAAUACGGAGGGCGCAAGCGUUACUCGGAAUCACUGGGCGUAAAGAGCGUGUAGGCGGAUUAAAAAGUCAGAAGUGAAAUCCUAUAGCUUAACUAUAGAACUGCUUCUGAAACUCUUAAUCUAGAAUAUGGGAGAGGUAGAUGGAAUUUCUGGUGUAGGGGUAAAAUCCGUAGAGAUCAGAAGGAAUACCGAUUGCGAAGGCGAUCUACUAGAACAUUAUUGACGCUGAGACGCGAAAGCGUGGGGAGCAAACAGGAUUAGAUACCCGCCGUAGUC